GGAAUGUCUAAUGCUGUAUUUUUCAGUCCAAACAGUAUACACAGAAACUCAAAGAGGUCCACUGGCGAUGUACAACCAUUUUGUGAAAGUCCUCCAAGCACGCAGUACCUGGAAUGCAUUCCAUGAGGACCAGGGGACCUGGUGCACAAGCUGAUGUUUGACCCCAUUUCACCGAUUAUAGUUUCCAUUAUUUGCUGAUUAAAGCAAUGAGGACAAUUGAAACAUCAAGAUGAUUCCAGUCUGACUGCAGGUUUGUGCCAUGAGGUAGGAGGUACAGAAGCCUGAAGACACACACUCAACGACUCAGGGACAGCUUCUUUCUCUCUGCCAUCCAAUUCCUAAAUGGACAUUGAACCCUCGGACACUAUCUCACUUUUAAAUAUGCACUAUUUCUAUUUUUGCAUGUUUUUACUCUAUUCAAUAUACAAUUACUGU